GAUGAACGCUGGCGGUCUGCUUAACACAUGCAAGUCGAACGGGCUCUUCGGAGCUAGUGGCGGACGGGUGAGUAACGCGUGAGGAUCUGCCUUCAGGAGGGGGAUAACGACUGGAAACGGUCGCUAAUACCGCAUAUGCCUACGGGUGAAAGAUUUAUCGCCUGGAGAUGAACUCGCGUCAGAUUAGCUAGUUGGUGGGGUAAGAGCCUACCAAGGCGACGAUCUGUAGCUGGUCUGAGGGGACGAUCAGCCACACUGGGACUGAGACACGGCCCAGACUCCUACGGGAGGCAGCAGUGGGGAAUUUUCCGCAAUGGGCGCAAGCCUGACGGAGCAAGACCGCGUGCGGGAUGACGGCCUAAUGGUUGUAAACCGCUUUUCUCUGGGAAGAUGAUGACGGUACCAGAGGAAUCAGCCUCGGCUAACUCCGUGCCAGCAGCCGCGGUAAUACGGAGGAGGCAAGCGUUAUCCGGAAUUAUUGGGCGUAAAGCGUCCGUAGGUGGUUAUUCAAGUCUGCUGUCAAAGCGUGGGGCUUAACUCCAUAGAGGCAGUGGAAACUGGAUGACUUGAGUGCGGUAGGGGUCGAGGGAAUUCCCAGUGUAGCGGUGAAAUGCGUAGAUCUUGGGAAGAACACCAGUGGCGAAAGCGCUCGACUGGGCCUGCACUGACACUGAGGGA
rnacentral:rRNA from 1 species